rnacentral:rRNA from 1 species
AGUGAACGCUGGCGGUAGGCCUAACACAUGCAAGUCGAACGGCAGCACAGUAAGAGCUUGCUCUUACGGGUGGCGAGUGGCGGACGGGUGAGGAAUACAUCGGAAUCUACUUUUUCGUGGGGGAUAACGUAGGGAGACUUACGCUAAUACCGCAUACGACCUACGGGUGAAAGCAGGGGAUCUUCGGACCUUGCGCGAUUGAAUGAGCCGAUGUCGGAUUAGCUAGUUGGCGGGGUAAAGGCCCACCAAGGCGACGAUCCGUAGCUGGUCUGAGAGGAUGGUCAGCCACACGGGAACAGAGACACGGUACAGACUCCUACGGGAGGCAGCAGUGGGGAAUAUUGGACAAGGGGCGCAAGCCUGAUCCAGCCAUACCGCGUGGGUGAAGAAGGCCUGCGGGUUGUAAAGCCCUUUUGUUGGGAAAGAAAAGCAGCAGGUUAAUACCCCGCUGUUCUGACGGCACCCAAAGAAUAAGCACCGGCCAACUUCG